CAGCAUCAAGUGGAAGCAGUUGAAAGUGUAAUAGAGGAACUUCUCUAUUGUUGACCUAUUUUACCAAUGAGAAUGUUGAGACUCAGAGUUUCAGUUGCCUAAGGUCAGGUGAUUAACAAGUACAGAAGCUAGGGUGAAGCCCUGGGUUUGUGUGCCUACAGAGUUCCUCAUGUGAACUGCGUCAUGCAGCCUCUUAUCAAUUGCAUCACAAGACAGAAUGGAUGAAGGAGGCAGAAUUGUUCAGUGGAAAGAGCAGAAGUUUUAUCCUCUAUUUUAGGAUGGGUUCCCCUAGAAGCAGACCCUGAGGAAAGGAUAUGUUCAUGGAUUAUUUGGAAAGUGAUUCCAGGAAGCACUGCUGGAUGAGCUGAAGAAGUAAGACAGAAAGAAGAUACCCAUACAAGGAAUAAAGGUGCCAGAGCAUACACACCAUGGAAUACUAUGCAGCCAUAAAAAAGGAUGAGUUCAUGUCCUUUGUAGGGACAUGGAUGAAGCUGGAAACCAUCAUUCUCGGCAAACUAUCGCAAGGACAAAAAACCAAACACCGCAUGUUCUCACUCAGAGGCACAGCUGCUACUCAACUGAUGUUACCCUGUUAUGAUUUGGUAGCUGAUGGAACUUCAUGUGUCCCCUGUGAUGGAGACACAAACUUUUCCUGCAACGAAAAGUAGAUGCUGAGGGGCCAGGAGUGAUGGUACCAGACGUCUUGUUUACCCCUCUGGAUCCCAGGAUGCUGUUCAGUGUGGAAUACAUCCGUCGGCUCCUUUGCCUCCUAGUCUGCAGUUGAGUUCCUGUAGAGUCCCAGCAGGAGGUCUGAGGGAGUGAUGAGAAUGAGGUGAGGCCAAUUACUCCCCCGCUCCCACCUGGAAGUUCCCUCUGGCAGGCUGCGUCCCACAUUCAAGUUAUACAGUUCCUAUAACAGAGGGUCUCUCCACAAGACGCUCUCUUCUCAGGUUCUUUUUGAGAGGUGAAGCCAGCUGGGCUUCUGGGUCUGGUGGGGACUUGGAGAACUUUUCUGUCUAGCUAAAGGAUUAUAAAUGCACCAAUCAGCACUCUGUGUCUAGCUAAAGGAUUGUAAAUGCACCAAUCAGCACUCUGUAAAACAGACCAAUCAGCACUCUGUAAAAUGGACCAACUAGCAGGAUGUGGGUGGGACCAAAUAAGGGAAUAAAAGCAGGCCACCCGAACCAGCAGCGGCAACCCACUGGGGUCCCCUUCCACGCUGUGGAAGCUUUGCUCUUUCACUCUUUGCAAUAAAUCUUGCUGCUGCUCACUCUUUGGGUCCACACUACCUUUAUGAGCUGUAACACUCACCACGAAGGUCUGCAGCUUUACUCCUGAAGCCAGCAAGACCACGAACCCACUGGGAGGAAUGAACAACUGCAGACGCUCCACCUUUAAGAGCUGUAACACUCACUGCAAAGGUAUGCAGCUUCACUCUUAAAGCCAGCGAACCCACCGGGAGGAACGAACAACUCCCGACACGCUGCCUUUAAGAGCCUUAACAUUCAUUGCAAGGGUCUGCCGCUUCACUCCUGAAGUCAGCAAGACCACGAACCCACUGGAAGGAAGAAACUCCGGACACAUCCGAAUAUCAGAAGGAACAAACUCCUGACACACCAUCUUUAAGAACUGUAACACUCACCGCGAGGGUCUGCGGCUUCAUUCUUGAAGUCAGCGAGACCAAGAACCCACCAAUUCCUGACACAUUUUGACAACUCACUUUCCACUUCAUGCCUAAGGAUGGGUAACAGCCUCACUAUAUUCCUUUUCCUUUUGCUCACCUGCACACACUGUAUAAGUGGCCCCUUUACGAAACCCUCUUUGAUUUAUCCUAUUUUUAAUAUUCCAUCUUUUCACUACUGAGCCUUGCUUGAAGUAAUAACUGUAGAAUUCAUGUGAAGGGUGUACUGGAGAAUAUGAGAAUUUACAAGAAGGAGGACUGGUUUGGGGUCCUUUCUCUUUCAGCAAGUAUUAACCGAGUACCUGCCCUGUGUCUUGUGCCAAGUAGCAUUCUACAGCAGUGAAGAAGAGAGGCAGAGUCCUUGCCCUCAAGGAGUUAUGGGAGGACAAAUAAUAAACAAGUGAACAAAUAAAUGAGGUAACUUUAGGUCAUAACCUGAGCUUUUAAGGAGACACACAGCAUGAUGAGAUGGACAGUAAAUGAGUUGAAUCUGUUUCAGAUAGUUUGGUCCAAAAAGGCCCCACUGAGCAGAUGACAGAAAAGACAUUGAGAAGGUGGAAUCCACAGUAUUGAUUAUUGAUUAAAUGUAGAAAAUAAAGGAGAAAAGAAGAUAGAAGUUUAUCCCAAGAUUUCUGUCUGUGUAACUGCAAGAAAAUGGCACCACCUAUAUUUAAAACAGAUAUGGAAUAGGUUUAUGUUUUCUGGCAGGGGUUGCAAAUAAAAUAUCCCCUCUUUUUGUAAAUAAAAUGUUAUUGAAAUGCAGCCACACUCAUUUGUUUACAUAUUGUCUGUGGUUACUUUCACUCUGCAACGGCAGAGUUGUGUAGUUUCAACAUUAUAUGGCCAGAUAAGUUGAAAAUACUAUCUGGGCCUUUAUAGAAAAGUUUACUGAGUUCUUCUCUAUGGCAUGUUGACAUAGCAUCAUAAUUUAUAGGAAACCGAGGAGGAGUCAAUUUCUCUAGGAAUUUUCUAGCAGAUUGAGUAAUGGUCUGUUUAACUAACGUUUUGUGCCCUUGAGUGGGAGGAAAAUUCACACUCAAGCUUAAUCAGUGAAUGGGGAAUGGGAUAAUUUCACUUUCUCAUUUCUCAAAUAAACUUGCCCUGAACUCUAUUAGAGAUAACCACACUUAAUAAUAUUGUAUAUUUCAAAAUUGUUGAAAGAAUCGACUUUUAAUGUUCUCACCACACACACAAAAAAAUGGUGUUGGUGAGGUGAUGUAUACGUUGAUUAGCUGGAUCAAAUCUUUCUAUGAUGCAUACAUAGAUCAAAACAUUCAGUUGUACCCCACAAAUAUACACAAUUAUUAUUUUUCAACUAAAAAUAAAUUUUUAAAAAUUUAAAUAUAUAUUCCAAAAAAAAAACAAGAAAGAAAGAAAUUCACCUGUGCGUGAUAAACAGGCAGAAAAGAAAGCUCCACCCACUGGCGCUGGGCCCAACUCCUCCUUGUGAAUUCUGCAUGACCAAGGAGCUUGCAGUUCUCAGUUUGCUGCAUAUUUCUCAGGUCCCCACCCCCUUGAACUGUUGAUUCUAGCUGCUAAAAACACCUCAUCCACCCAACAACAUCUACAUCAGAGAAGAUGACUGAAAUCAGAGAAUCCUCCCCCACCACCCACUUUGCUGCCUCUGAAGAAGCCUCUACCACUGUCUGCACGUUAAGACUUGCUUGAGGCCUUCCACUCCCAGAGAAGGAGCCAAAAUUAUCCUAACAUGGCUCUCAGUUGUAGGCAAAUCUGUUGAUCCACUAUGUCAUCUACAAAGUAAUUUCUUGCAAAGUUGAAUUAACGUUAGUCCCAAGGACAGCUGAUGUUUGAAAUGAUGUAUUUUAUUUCAAAAUAAGACUGUGUCCACAGAUUAUCCCUGCUCCUAUUUUAAGAUUGGAAUCUAAUAAACAGCACAGGCUGCUCUACCAUCAUUUGCUGCCUUACCAUUUGUUUGUAUCUAUUUUUCUGUUACUAUUUUUGGCUAUGCUUUUAGCCACAGGAUUGAGUCUGAAAGCAGGCAGAUAUGGACUCAAGAAAGAUAAAUCAUGGCUUAAAUUUGUUCUCAAAGGAUGAAGACCAAAACAAUGUUCUCCUAUUUAAAGAGCACUCAGAUCUGGCUAGUUAAUUGCCAAUUUUGAGCAACCUAAAAAACAUGACAAAUUUAUAGGUGUCUAGUCAUUAACGUUCAUAGUAUAAAUAAACCCUCAUUUGGAUCAUCUUAAAUUCAUAAAUUUCAGAGCAAAAUAGAUGUAGAGUUCCGUGGUCAGGAAAAAGAAUGCUGGACUUGGAUAUUAAAUGAUCUGGGCAUGAAUUUAAGCUUUGCCCUUUCCUCUGUUCAACUCCAGCCAAGUCACUUAAUCUCUAUAGCAUGAAGUUUCCUAUUUGGAAAAGGAAGGGAUUGGAUUGGUUCAACAAGGUAUCUUCAAGUACUAAACAUCUAUGAGUCAACAUCUGUUCUAGUUUAAUUCCUCAUUUUAUAAAUGCAGAAACUGACACACAAAGGUGAAAUCUAAGGCAGCUAGUUAAUGAUUUAGCUGAGUUUGGGAUCAGUCUUCUAAUAUUUUGUUUUAAAUUAACUGUGAGUGUGUGUGUUUUCUGAAGAGCUCAACAUCAUAGAAAUCCAGUACCCUUGGCCCUGGACCUGUCUCCAUGUGCAUUUCUGCAUCCUUUCGUAAUUAGAAUUUCUGUUCUUGGGACAGAAGGAAAUAGAGAUCAUACAGCGGCACCCUACUCUAUUUACAGGCAAGAACUGGCAAGACAUACCAACUGGAACAUCAGAGCUGGGGGCACAUCUCAGUUUCUAGAACAUCUAAGAACCUGAACAAUGGUGUGGCUUGUAUUGACUUUCAGAUCAAGUGAUGUUUUCCCAAUUUUCUUAGUAAUGAAUGAUUUACAAAGAAAGCUAGUGAUUAAACAUUAUUUGUGUGUUUUCUGUAAUUAAAAAUCAUUUUCUUGGAGUCACUCAGAGCUUAGUAUAAUGAUUUUAUUGUGGCAUUAUUUUAAUUUUACUGUGGAAAUAAGGAUUAUACCAAUUUCCUUAGACUCAAAAGCUGUGGAAUGGAAAAUUCUGCUUGUGGAAGCACAUGUCUGUUGGAUAAUUCUAAAAUAAAAUUUUACUUUUAAAUAGCACUGGUCUCUGUCACAGGAGGCAUUUCGUCAAGAACACAACCACUUACUAAAUUUUAUUCUUCUGAAAUGUAAACGUACUUUUGCAAAUUUUAUUCAAUGGCAAUGACAAUCCUAUAACCAAACAAUAUGAAUCCAGUCUAUUUAUUCAGGAUACUUUGUUUAGUACUGUGCAUAAUUAAAAUGAAAAUGUCAC
rnacentral:lncRNA from 10 species